AAGUCGUAACAAGGUUUCCGUAGGUGAACCUGCGGAAGGAUCAUUAACACGUAUCCAAACGUUAAAACCCCCCCCGUGAACCUUCAUCCUGCUCUUGUAACCCGCGUAGUUCGCAGUGUCGAAAAGUGUCAUUGAUUGUGCAAGGCUAGCGCUUCUACGAUUCCUGUAGACCGUACACUCGGGCAGGAGCUUUGCCAAAGGGUCCCCAUGCCCCCUAAUAACCCCACAGUUUAAUGUGAAGCUCAAUGUAAUACAUUGGGUACAAAAACCGAACAACUGUUAACAAUGGAUAUCUUGGUUCUC
rnacentral:misc_RNA from 1 species